rnacentral:rRNA from 1 species
CAGCAGCCACGGGAAUACGGAGGGUGCAAGCGUUAAUCGGAAUUACUGGGCGUAAAGCGCACGCAGGCGGUUUGUUAAGUCAGAUGUGAAAUCCCCGGGCUCAACCUGGGAACUGCAUUUGAAACUGGCAAGCUAGAGUCUCGUAGAGGGGGGUAGAAUUCCAGGUGUAGCGGUGAAAUGCGUAGAGAUCUGGAGGAAUACCGGUGGCGAAGGCGGCCCCCUGGACAAAGACUGACGCUCAGGUGCGAAAGCGUGGGGAGCAAACAGGAUUAGAGACCCCGGUAGUCCCUGUCUCUUAUAC